GAAAUAGGUAAUUCAGGGGUAAGCUUCUAACUUAACCCCUUAGCGUUGAAAUAUGUUAUUAUUUCU
rnacentral:tRNA from 2 species